rnacentral:rRNA from 1 species
UACGUAGGGGGCAAGCGUUGUCCGGAAUCAUUGGGCGUAAAGAGCGUGUAGGCGGCCCGAUAAGUCCGCUGUGAAAGUCCAGGGCUCAACCCUGGGAUGCCGGUGGAUACUGUCGGGCUCGAGUCCGGAAGAGGCGAGUGGAAUUCCUGGUGUAGCGGUGAAAUGCGCAGAUAUCAGGAGGAACACCAAUGGCGAAGGCAGCUCGCUGGGACUGACUGACGCUGAGACGCGAAAGCGUGGGGAGCAAACAGG